rnacentral:rRNA from 1 species
UCAACGCAAAGAUGCAAUAGGCAAGAGAGACAGAAAUUAAAACAAGGUACAAUACAAAAGACAUUUGAUUGAUAGAAUACAAGACAGUAUAAAACUUUGUGAAUAAAAUUGAGUGCGGGAUAGUGGCGGACGGGUGAGUAACGCGUGAAUAAUCUGCCCCAUACAGGGGGAUAGCCUCGGGAAACCGGGAUUAAAACCGCAUAACACUUUAUCACCGCAUGGUGAUGAAGUCAAAUCGAUUAAGAGGUAUGGGGAUGAGUUCGCGUCUGAUUAGCUAGUUGGCGGGGUAAAGGCCCACCAAGGCGACGAUCAGUAGCCGGCCUGAGAGGGUGACCGGCCACACUGGAACUGAGACACGGUCCAGACUCCUACGGGAGGCAGCAGUGGGGAAUAUUGCACAAUGGGGGAAACCCUGAUGCAGCGACGCCGCGUGAGUGAAGAAGGUCUUCGGAUCGUAAAACUCUGUCCUUGGUGACGAAGGAAGUGACGGUAACCAAGGAGGAAGCCCCGGCUAACUACGUG